CAGAUGUAUUACCAUCAUUGUUUUUUAUCAUUUACUGUUUCAACUGCUUGUCAUAACGAGGCUUUGAAUCUUGGCUAUCGGUUUCAUCUUCAUUGGUCUUGUAUUGCUUUACGAUCGUGACUUGCUCUAAUAAAAAGUAAAUUGAAUCUGCAGAAACUAUGUUAAGGCUUUGUUCUUAUCUGAUAAAUGCGAAUGUAUUAAAAUGUUGAUUUAUAUUUAAACUGGUGAACAUUUGGUUGGACCAUAUGACGAGUGUUUCUGCCAACAGAAAAAGGGGCAAGGCAAAGGCGUCCGAGACACGGUCUUUGAAAAAGGUUCAAGCUUCUAUCCAGGCCCAAGCUCCUAUCAAGGUUCAAGCUCCUAUAUAUCCCGACUCAAGCUCCCAUCCAGGCUCCUGCUCCUAUCCAGGCUCUUGAGGAAAGUGCACCAGAUUAAAAACAAUGUGCAAGUGUCCAGGUUUGGCCACAGGAGGAGGAAGAAUGUCUUUUUUAAUGACUUUUUGUGUUAAAUGUUAAAAUAAAAUAAGAAGUUAAA